ACGAACGCUGGCGGCGUGCUUAACACCUGCAAGUCGAACGGAAAGGCCCUGCUUGCAGGGUACUCGAGUGGCGAACGGGUGAGUAACACGUGGGUGAUCUGCCCUGCACUUCGGGAUAAGCCUGGGAAACUGGGUCUAAUACCGGAUAGGAGCCAUUUUUAGUGUGAUGGUUGGAAAGUUUUUUCGGUGUAGGAUGAGCUCGCGGCCUAUCAGCUUGUUGGUGGGGUAAUGGCCUACCAAGGCGGCGACGGGUAGCCGGCCUGAGAGGGUGGACGGCCACAUUGGGACUGGGAUACGGCCCAGACUCCUACGGGAGGCAGCAGUGGGGAAUAUUGCACAAUGGGCGCAAGCCUGAUGCAGCGACGCCGCGUGGGGGAUGACGGGCUUCGGGUUGUAAACUCCUUUCGCUAGGGACGAAGCUUUUUGUGACGGUACCUAGAUAAGAAGCACCGGCUAACUACGUG
rnacentral:rRNA from 1 species